rnacentral:rRNA from 1 species
CAGCGCCACGAGUGGGGACCACGAUUAUUGGGCCUAAAGCGUCCGUAGCUGGUUUGAUAAGUCUUUUGUGAAAUCGUUGCGCUUAACGUAACGCUGUGCAAAAGAGACUGUUAAACUUGGAACCGGGAGGGGUCAGAAGUAUUCCAGGGGGAGCGGUAAAAUGUUAUAAUCCCUGGAGGACUACCUGUGGCGAAGGCGUCUGACUAGAACGGAUUCGACAGUGAGGGACGAAAGCUGAGGGAGCAAUCCGGAUUAGAUACCCGAGUAGUCC